rnacentral:rRNA from 1 species
UACAGGGGGGGCAAGCGUUGUUCGGAAUUACUGGGCGUAAAGGGCUCGUAGGCGGCCAACUAAGUCACACGUGAAAUCCCCAGGCUUAACCUGGGAACUGCGUGUGAUACUGGAUGGCUUGAAUCCGGGAGAGGGAUGCAGAAUUCCAGGUGUAGCGGUGAAAUGCGCAGAUAUCAGGAGGAACACCGGUGGCGAAGGCGGAUCUCUGGGCCUUGCCUGACGCUGAGGCGCGAGAGCUAGGGGAGCGAACAGG